rnacentral:rRNA from 1 species
UACAGAGGUCUCAAGCGUUGUUCGGAAUCACUGGGCGUAAAGGGUGCGUAGGUGGCGUGGUAAGUCAGAUGUGAAAGCCCGGGGCUCAACCUCGGAACUGCAUCCGAUACUGCCAUGCUAGAGAACUGAAGAGGAGUGUAGAAUUCUCGGUGUAGCAGUGAAAUGCGUAGAUAUCGAGAGGAAUACCAACGGCGAAGGCAGCACUCUGGGCAGUUUCUGACACUGAGGCACGAAGGCUAGGGGAGCAAACAGG